rnacentral:rRNA from 2 species
UACGAAGGGUGCAAGCGUUAAUCGGAAUUACUGGGCGUAAAGCGCGCGUAGGUGGUUCAGUAAGUUGGAAGUGAAAUCCCCGGGCUCAACCUGGGAACUGCUUUCAAAACUGCUGAGCUAGAGUAUGGCAGAGGGUGGUGGAAUUUCCUGUGUAGCGGUGAAAUGCGUAGAUAUAGGAAGGAACACCAGUGGCGAAGGCGACCACCUGGGCUAAUACUGACACUGAGGUGCGAAAGCGUGGGGAGCAAACAGG